rnacentral:rRNA from 1 species
UACGGGGGGAGCAAGCGUUGUUCGGAUUUACUGGGCGUAAAGGGCGCGUAGGCGGCCACCGCAAGUCAAUUGUGAAAUCUCCGGGCGUAACUCGGAAAGGUCAACUGAUACUGCGGGGCUAGAGUGCGGAAGGGGCAACUGGAAUUCUCGGUGUAGCGGUGAAAUGCGUAGAUAUCGAGAGGAACACCUGCGGCGAAGGCGGGUUGCUGGGCCGACACUGACGCUGAGGCGCGAAAGCCAGGGGAGCGAACGGG